rnacentral:rRNA from 7 species
CUCGGUGGUGAUAGCGGUGGUGACACACCUCUUUCCAUUCCGAACAGAGAAGUUAAGGCCACCCGCGCCGAAAAUACUUGGUAGAAUGCCUGGGAAAAUAGGUCGCCGCCGGGA